rnacentral:lncRNA from 1 species
AGAAUGAAAGCCAAGAAUGUGAGGUCACAGCUGGCUCUGGUCACUAACCAUUUUCAACUAGAGACAAAUGAAUGGACCUUGCGUUAGUCUCCCGUACUCCUCAGGAAGGACGCUUGAGUUAAUUUCAGAGUUUGAUUUGAGAGCCCCAGCCAAUGAACCUAAGAUAGGUAGAGAGGAAAACAAUUUUUUUCCUCCCCUACAAAGCCUGCACAAGCCACUUGGUUCUUCCGUCUCUCCCCUCUGUCUUGCAAUCAGACUGCCAGCAAGUGAACCGAGAGGUGAAGAGCAGCUGUGCUUCUCCAGCUAAAAAGUUGCAAGCUGCUCAGCAUGAGGAGAAGGGGAUGCGAAGAGGCAGCGAAUCUUGCCCAUCAGGAGGCGUGGAGCUCUAUCACCUGGACUUCCUAGG